rnacentral:rRNA from 1 species
UUAAGAGGGGUUUGCGACUGAUUAGGUAGUUGGUGAGGUAACGGCUCACCAAGCCGACGAUCAGUAGCCGGUCUGAGAGGAUGAACGGCCACACUGGAACUGAGACACGGUCCAGACUCCUACGGGAGGCAGCAGUGGGGAAUCUUCCGCAAUGGACGAAAGUCUGACGGAGCAACGCCGCGUGAACGAAGAAGGUCUUCGGAUUGUAAAGUUCUGUGAUUCGGGACGAAAGGGUUUGUGGUGAAUAAUCAUAGACAUUGACGGUACCGAAAAAGCAAGCCACGGCCUAA